ACUCCUACGGGAGGCAGCAGUGGGGAAUAUUGCACAAUGGGGGAAACCCUGAUGCAGCCAUGCCGCGUGUGUGAAGAAGGCCUUCGGUUGUAAAGCACUUUCAGUAGGGAGGAAGGUAGUGUAGUUAACACCUGCACUUAUUUGACGUUACCUACAGAAGAAGCACCGGCUAACUCCGUGCCAGCAGCCGCGGUAAUACGGAGGGUGCGAGCGUUAAUCGGAAUUACUGGGCGUAAAGCGCAUGCAGGCGGCCUGUUAAGUCAGAUGUGAAAGCCCGGGGCUUAACCUCGGAAUUGCAUUUGAAACUGGCAGGCUAGAGUCUUGUAGAGGGGGGUAGAAUUUCAGGUGUAGCGGUGAAAUGCGUAGAGAUCUGAAGGAAUACCAGUGGCGAAGGCGGCCCCCUGGACAAAGACUGACGCUCAGAUGCGAAAGCGUGGGGAGCAAACAGGAUUAGAUACCCUGGUAGGAUAGCG
rnacentral:rRNA from 1 species